UAAUACCAGGUAUGGUAACUGUUAUAAUACCAGGUAUGGUAACUGUUAUUACUGGGUAAUACCAGGUAUGGUAACUGUUAUAAUACCAGGUAUGGUAACUUAUUAAUGUGUAAUACCAGGUAUGUGAAGUGUGUCCCGGUGUUGUCUGAAGAGCAGAAAGGAGACUUUGCUCAGCUGGAGCUGGUGAUGACUAAAGAGUUCAUCUCUCAACAACUCAUCCACCUCACCGGCUGUCUGGAUACCAAUGAAGAGGGAGGAAGGAAGCGUGUGGUGGCUGUGUUACAGGAGAUGCUGGUCCUACCUCAGACUCCUCCCUCUCUGGUCUCUCUGCUGACAGAGAAACUACUGACCCUGAUACCUGACGACCACAGACGCAUUCAGACCGUGGCGGAGGUGAUCUCGGAGGUGCGUGAGCCCAUCGUCGUCAGACAGCCGCUGGAUGAGAACGAGAACCGCAGGAAACAAGUUAAGGUAUUCGCUCUGCUGUAUCUCU